rnacentral:rRNA from 1 species
GUGGGGAAUAUUGGGCAAUGGGCGAAAGCCUGACCCAGCAACGCCGCGUGAGGGAAGAAGGCCUUCGGGUUGUAAACCUCUGUCCUUGGUGACGAAACAAAUGACGGUAGCCAAGGAGGAAGCCCCGGCUAACUACGUGCCAGCAGCCGCGGUAAUACGUAGGGGGCGAGCGUUGUCCGGAAUUACUGGGCGUCAAGGGUGCGUAGGUGGCCUUUUAAGUUGGAUGUGAAAUACCCGGGCUUAACUUGGGGGGUGCAUCUAAUACUGGAGGGCUAGAGUGCAGGAGAGGGAAGCGGAAUUCCUAGUGUAGCGGUGAAAUGCGUAGAUAUUAGGAGGAACACCAGUGGCGAAGGCGGCUUCCUGGCACAAUACUGACGCUCAUGUGCGAAAGCUAGGGCAGCGAACGGGAUUAGAAACCCGAGUAGUCC